AUCUUUCUAGGGUUUGGAGAUGACUUUAAAGAAGAGGACCCUAGAGCUAAACCUCAUUAAAACACAAGGAGUCAGUCCUCCCAUCAUCUGGAACCUCUGUGAAUCAGCAUUCAAUAAAAAAUUACUAAGUAUAUGAAGAGACAGGACAAUUUGAUUCAAAACCAAGAGAAAACAGAAACAAUAGAAAGCAGAAACAGGCGAUCCAGUCAUUGGAGUUAGCAGACAAAGACUUUAUUAUGUUUAGGAAUAUAGGAGGAAGAAAAAGAACAAAGGAGAAAUUCAGAGAAGCUGCUUAUGGAAAAGAAGAACUUGAUUUAGGCAGGAGAAUGACAAUCUUUGAAAGAAACUCAGGAUUCAAGAAUAAUACUGUCCUUCAACUUAAAAUCAACUGCCUACAACAGUGCAAAAAAGAAAAGAAAAAUGACAGUUUACAAAGUCUAGGUGAUUUCCUCAUGUUUAUAGAGAAGAAAGUAUUGACAUAGAGCUUUGACAUGCUUAUACUUUAUUUGAAGAUUAAAUAUGUUAAUUAUUGAAAUAGAUAAGGGUUUGCCUUUAUAUCUUGGAACCUUUUUUGAUUUCUCUCUUUCUUCUUCUGCCUGCCCACAUUCAAUUCCAAAGCAGAUCUUGCUGGCUUUGCCUACACAGUAUGUCCAACAUCUGCCCACCAGCUCUCAUGCUCGCCUGGGUUUUGGCCGUAGCCUCGAAAUACUGUCUUAUUUCUGCUCUUCCCUUGUCAUAGGCAGAACUGAUCCUUUCAAAUGUGAGUCACAUCAGGUCCCUUCUAGUCUCA